CUCAAGUACGGCGUGCAACAAGUGCCUACCCACGUCGUCAAAGAACUCAUCAUGCACGAGGUGGUGCUUGGGGGUGGCCAGGAUGCAUCUGCUGUUACCACAACCAUCAUCGUGCGGGGAAGUUUGAAGCCAAAUUUUAUGACAAGGUUCUGCAAGAAGAGAUUGGAGGCGUUAAAGGACAUUUCGGGCCAAUUAAUGCUUUGGCAUUCAACCCGGAUG